GAUUGUAUCUAUAUACAAAGAUAGCCCCAAGAAUUAUCAGUGCAAAUAAACCACAACUUGCAAAAGCAACAAUCUUUACAAGUUUUGGUUUGUUGGUUGAACCUGCAAUAAAUGCAUGGUGGCAACUC